AUUGAACGCUGGCGGCAGGCCUAACACAUGCAAGUCGAGCGGUAGCACAGAGAGCUUGCUCUCGGGUGACGAGCGGCGGACGGGUGAGUAAUGUCUGGGAAACUGCCUGAUGGAGGGGGAUAACUACUGGAAACGGUAGCUAAUACCGCAUAACGUCGCAAGACCAAAGUGGGGGACCUUCGGGCCUCAUGCCAUCAGAUGUGCCCAGAUGGGAUUAGCUAGUAGGUGGGGUAACGGCUCACCUAGGCGACGAUCCCUAGCUGGUCUGAGAGGAUGACCAGCCACACUGGAACUGAGACACGGUCCAGACUCCUACGGGAGGCAGCAGUGGGGAAUAUUGCACAAUGGGCGCAAGCCUGAUGCAGCCAUGCCGCGUGUGUGAAGAAGGCCUUCGGGUUGUAAAGCACUUUCAGCGGGGAGGAAGGCGAUAAGGUUAAUAACCUUGUCGAUUGACGUUACCCGCAGAAGAAGCACCGGCUAACUCCGUGCCAGCAGCCGCGGUAAUACGGAGGGUGCAAGCGUUAAUCGGAAUUACUGGGCGUAAAGCGCACGCAGGCGGUCUGUCAAGUCGGAUGUGAAAUCCCCGGGCUCAACCUGGGAACUGCAUUCGAAACUGGCAGGCUAGAGUCUUGUAGAGGGGGGUAGAAUUCCAGGUGUAGCGGUGAAAUGCGUAGAGAUCUGGAGGAAUACCGGUGGCGAAGGCGGCCCCCUGGACAAAGACUGACGCUCAGGUGCGAAAGCGUGGGGAGCAAACAGGAUUAGAUACCCUGGUAGUCCACGCCGUAAACGAUGUCGAUUUGGAGGUUGUGCCCUUGAGGUGUGGCUUCCGGAGCUAACGCGUUAAAUCGACCGCCUGGGGAGUACGGCCGCAAGGUUAAAACUCAAAUGAAUUGACGGGGGCCCGCACAAGCGGUGGAGCAUGUGGUUUAAUUCGAUGCAACGCGAAGAACCUUACCUGGUCUUGACAUCCACAGAACUUUCCAGAGAUGGAUUGGUGCCUUCGGGAACUGUGAGACAGGUGCUGCAUGGCUGUCGUCAGCUCGUGUUGUGAAAUGUUGGGUUAAGUCCCGCAACGAGCGCAACCCUUAUCCUUUGUUGCCAGCGGUUAGGCCGGGAACUCAAAGGAGACUGCCAGUGAUAAACUGGAGGAAGGUGGGGAUGACGUCAAGUCAUCAUGGCCCUUACGACCAGGGCUACACACGUGCUACAAUGGCAUAUACAAAGAGAAGCGACCUCGCGAGAGCAAGCGGACCUCAUAAAGUAUGUCGUAGUCCGGAUUGGAGUCUGCAACUCGACUCCAUGAAGUCGGAAUCGCUAGUAAUCGUAGAUCAGAAUGCUACGGUGAAUACGUUCCCGGGCCU
rnacentral:rRNA from 1 species